rnacentral:rRNA from 1 species
ACGGGAGGCAGCAGUGGGGAAUAUUGCACAAUGGGCGAAAGCCUGAUGCAGCGACGCCGCGUGAACGAAGAAGUAUUUCGGUAUGUAAAGUUCUAUCAGCAGGGAAGAUAAUGACGGUACCUGACUAAGAAGCACCGGCUAAAUACGUGCCAGCAGCCGCGGUAAUACGUAUGGUGCAAGCGUUAUCCGGAUUUACUGGGUGUAAAGGGAGCGUAGGCGGUAUGCUAAGUCUGAUGUGAAAGCCCGAGGCUCAACCUCGGUACUGCAUUGGAAACUGGUAAACUAGAGUGUCGGAGGGGUAAGUGGAACUCCUAGUGUAGCGGUGAAAUGCGUAGAUAUUAGGAGGAACACCAGUGGCGAAGGCGGCUUACUGGACGAUAACUGACGCUGAGGCUCGAAAGCGUGGGGAGCAAACAGGAUUAGAUACCCUGGUA